rnacentral:rRNA from 1 species
UACGUAGGGUGCAAGCGUUGUCCGGAAUUAUUGGGCGUAAAGAGCUCGUAGGCGGUGUGUCGCGUCGGCCGUGAAAACCUGCAGCUUAACUGUGGGCUUGCGGUCGAUACGGGCAUCACUGGAGUUCGGCAGGGGAGACUGGAAUUCCUGGUGUAGCGGUGAAAUGCGCAGAUAUCAGGAGGAACACCGGUGGCGAAGGCGGGUCUCUGGGCCGAUACUGACGCUGAGACGCGAAAGCGUGGGGAGCGAACCGG